UAUACUUACGUUCAAUACUAUCGAUUGCCUUUGUUUAUUCCAGACGAGUUAGUGAUCUUAAAAGCACCGGUUUUGCUUUUCCAAUCUCCUCUAACUUGACAAGAAUAGAAACUCUAGUACUAAGGAACUGCAAUAUUAUCGGUGAAAUCCCAUCAUAUAUUGGCAAUUGGAAUUCAUCAUUAAAAAACCUUGACUUGAGCUUCAACAACUUAACUGGUAGGAUCCCA